GGAGGUGUUGGUGGUGGAGAUUGGUUAGGGGUGGGGGAGGAGAUGUCAGAGGUGGUGGUGGAGAUUUGUUACGGGGUGGGGGAGGAGAUGUCGGAGGUGGUGGGGGAGAUUUGUUACGGGGUGGAAGAGGAGAUGGAGGUGGUGGUGGAGACUUGUUACGGGUGGAGGAGGAGAUGGAGGAGGUGGUGGUGGAGACUUGUUAAGGGGUGGGGGAGGAGAUGGAGGAGGUGGUGGUGGAGAUUUGUUACUGGGUGGGGGAGGAGAUGCCGGAGGUGGUGGUGGAGACUUGUUACGGGGUGGGGGAGGAGAUGGAGGAGGUGGUGGUGGAGACUUGUAACGUGGUGGGGGAGGAGAUGGCGGAGGUGGUGGUGGAGACUUGUUACGUGGUGGGGGAGGAGAUGCCGGAGGUGGCGGUGGAUAUUUGUUACGGGGUGGGGGAGGAGAUGGUGGAGGUGGUGGUGGAGAUUUGUUACGGGGUGGAGUAGGAGAUGGAGGAGGCGGUGGUGGAGUCUUGUUACGGGGUGGGGGAGGAGAUGGCGGAGGUGGUGGUGAAGAUUUGUUACGGGUUGGGGGAGGAGAUGGAGGAGGUGGUGGUGGAGAUUUG